rnacentral:rRNA from 1 species
GACGAACGCUGGCGGCGUGCCUAAUACAUGCAAGUCGAACGCUUCUUUCCUCCCGAGUGCUUGCACUCAAUUGGAAAGAGGAGUGGCGGACGGGUGAGUAACACGUGGAUAACCUACCCAUCGGAGGGGGAGAACACUUGGCAACAGGUGCUAAUACCGCCUAAGCGUUUAAGCCGCAUGGCUUAAGAGUGAAAGGGGCUUUCGGGGGUCGUUGAUGGGUGGACCCGCGGUGCAUUAGCUAGUUGGCGAGGUAACGGUCCACCAAGGCGACGAUGCAUAGCUGGUCUGAGAGGAUGAUCAGCCACACUGGAACUGAGACACGGUCCAGACUCCUACGGGAGGCAGCAGUGGGGAAUCUUCGACAAUGGACGAAAGCCUGAUCCAGCCAUACCGCGUGGGUGAAGAAGGCCUUCGGGUUGUAAAGCCCUUUUGUUGGGAAAGAAAAACAGCAGGUUAAUACCACGCUGUUCUGACGGUACCCAAAGAAUAAGCAACGGCUAACUUCGUG